rnacentral:rRNA from 1 species
ACACGCAUGACACACUGCAUAUCAAUAAGCGGAGGAAAAGAAACUAACAAGGAUUCCCUUAGUAACGGCGAGUGAAGCGGGAAGAGCUCAAAUUUGAAAUCUUCAAGGUUCUACCUUGACGAAUUGUAGUUUAUAGAAGUGUUUUCUGUUAGUAGAGUGGCAAAAGUUCUUUGGAAUAGGACAUCAUAGAGGGUGAGAAUCCCGUAUUUGGUCAUUCUUUCUAGCUUUGUGAUACACUUUCAACGAGUCGGAUUGUUUGGGAAUGCAGUCCAAAAUGGGUGGUAAAUUUCAUCUAAAGCUAAAUAUUGGCGAGAGACCGAUAGCGAACAAGUACCGUGAGGGAAAGAUGAAAAGAACUUUGAAAAGAGAGUUAAACAGUACGUGAAAUUGUCAAAAGGGAAGCGUUUGACACCAGUGUUGUUUUUCCGAAAAUCAAUUACGAAUGUUUUGUUUUUGAGGAGUUAUGACUUCAUCGGCUUGCUUCUCUCUUUACGAAACUUUCUUAAUGCACUUUUCGGUUAACAAGUCAACAUCAAUUUCUUUUGUUGUAAAAGGGUAUGAGGAAGGUGGCUUUCUUUUCGGAGAAAGUGUUUAUAGCCUUGUGCCUCUGCAAUCGGAGAGAUUGAGGUCUGCAGCGUAGAUCCUUCGGGGUUAGAUACAUUUGUGCUAAGUUAUAGCCUUUCAUAGACAACUUGUUGACUAUGAUCAGUCAUGUAGCUUACUCGCUUAUGUCUAUUUUACCUACGCUUAGGAUGUUGACGCAUGAGAUAUACGC